rnacentral:snRNA from 1 species
GUGCUCGCUUUGGCAGAACAUAUAUUAAAACUGGAACAAUACAGAGAAGAUUAGCAUGUCCCCUGUCCAAGGAUGACGUGCAAAUUCAUGAAGUGUUCCAUAUUUUU